rnacentral:rRNA from 1 species
UACAGAGGGUGCUAGCGUUGUUCGGAAUCAUUGGGCGUAAGGGCGUGUAGGCGGUUUUGUUAAGUCAUGUGUGAAAUCCCUCGGCUCAACCGGGGAACGACGCAUGAAACUGGCAAGCUAGAGUACCAAAGAGGGGGGUGGAAUUCCCGGUGUAGCGGUGAAAUGCGUAGAUAUCAGGAGGAACACCGGUGGCGAAGGCGGGUCUCUGGGCCGAUACUGACGCUGAGGAGCGAAAGCGUGGGGAGCGAACAGG